AGUUUUGCCCCAAAUUUGACACGGUUUUCAUAAAUUCAGACAUAUAUAUAUAGCUGUACUUUAUCCUUCUGAUCACGUAGACACACGAAUCAGGAUUUACCCCUGUUUUUAUUUCGGCCCACAUGUUAGUGAGAAGUUCACAUGGCACGUAAAAACCGAUUGAUCACGACUUGCUACGAGACAUCCCACGUAAAAAAAUACACCAUUUGCUUUACGACAGCUUUGCGUGUUUGCGAAAAGUGUUAUUAAUUCAAGAACUUCUUUAAAAAAACUGGUACAAGAAAAGCACAUAAUGUCUUUUAAAUCAGAAAACGUGGUGUAAACCGAAAAUUGGCUCCAAAUUUGCCUGAGGGAGUCUGGAAACAGACAAAAACUUGGUUGCCAUAGAGAUCUCGAAUCACUUGAAAUAAGCUUGGGAAAAUUCACAAAUUGUGGUCAAAUUGUUUAAAACAUGAUGCUAAACUAGAAUAUCUGGUGUGGAAAACAAAAAUCAUUUAUUGAGGAAAAUCCGACGUCUUCCUCUCGUUUCUGGGGACACUGACGGGGUUAUCAUGCCCUGAUUGUUAAUUAUGCAACUUGUUUGACUGAAAACUAAUACGAAACUAUGAUAUCAACCACAUUACACUUAUAAGCAUUUUAAACAAAAAUGUUGAAGAUUAACGAAAAAAAUGGUGCAGUUGUUCAAGUUACCGUCGACCAUAACAUGUUUUCGCUUUCCUCACUAGGGGGGCGCUAAUACAUCGUUACAACAUCCCCUACAACAUUGCACAGCUCUUAGCCAUCAGGUUCCUAUUAAAGGGUAAACUCGACAGCCAUGACAGGGACAUUCGUGGACUUGGGAAAGGAAUAAAAAGGUUCAUAUUGAAGCGUAAGUCCAUCAACCACUGCAGUGGCAUUCAUGGACUCGGAAGAGAAAUAAAAAGGUAUGUCUAAGCAUUGCUGACCAGGAAAGGUGACAAAUUUGUUGGAGUGAAGUCGAGAUAUAGCGCGAGCGCAGUUUACUUUUGUAAAAGUUUUCAUUUCAGAGAGGUUGAAUGGAAAUACCCUUCUAAUUUACAUACUAAGUCCAAUCAAUUUUAGAUUUGUCGUUAUGGUUUUUAAAAUAAUUUGAAUCUGUCCCUUGCAGCGACCAUAGUCGCUUCGGAAGAUAGUUUUUCGUCCAGUGCCGGCAAGACGGUUUAUUAAUUAUUUAUAUUUAAUUUGCACCGUCCGGAUUUUUAUAGAACUUUAUAACAUGAUUGUUCUCAGCACCGACAGAUUUUUUUCCCCUAAGAUUCACCAAAAGAGGUCUCAAUGCUCACCCUAUGCAAGGCUCGUCUUAAUAAUUUUGCUUUUUGAUUAAAUACCCUGCAAAU